GACGAACGCUGGCGGCGUGCUUAACACAUGCAAGUCGAACGCUGAACCCGUUUCGGUGGGGGAUGAGCGGCUAACGGGCGAGUAACAAGCAGGCAACCUGCCCCCGGCUCUGGGAUAACUCCAAGCAAGUGGGGGUAAUACCUGAUGUGACCGCGGGCCGCAUGGUCGGGUGGGGUAAAGGGUUUCCGGCUGGGGAUGGGCGCGCGGCCUAUCAGCUUGUUGGUGGGGUAGUGGCCUACCAAGGCGACGACGGGUAGCCGGCCUGAGAGGGUGACCGGCCACACUGGGACUGAGACACGGCCCAGACUCCUACGGGAGGCAGCAGUGGGGAAUAUUGCGCAAUGGGCGGAAGCCUGACGCAGCAACGCCGCGUGGGGGAUGACGGCCUUCGGGUUGUAAACCUCUUUCGGCAGGGACGAAGCGCAAGUGACGGUACCUGCAGAAGAAGCACCGGCCAACUACGUG
rnacentral:rRNA from 1 species